AGAGCGAACGCUGGCGGCAGGCCUAACACAUGCAAGUCGAACGGACCCUUCGGGGUUAGUGGCGGACGGGUGAGUAACACGUGGGAACGUGCCUUUUGGUUCGGAAUAGCUCCUGGAAACGGGUGGUAAUGCCGAAUGUGCCCUUCGGGGGAAAGAUUUAUCGCCAUUAGAGCGGCCCGCGUCUGAUUAGCUAGUUGGUGAGGUAAAGGCUCACCAAGGCUACGAUCAGUAGCUUGGUCUGAGAGGAUGACCAGCCACA
rnacentral:rRNA from 1 species